UUUAUCUUUCAAUAUCACAAUCUGUAUUUAUCAAUUCAAAGAAACAACUGUACAGAGUCAAUGAUUCGCAGUUGGUUCUGAUCAUUUUAUACAUUAUUGGUUCAUUCAUUCACCUUUUUCCAUGUUGGUAGUUUGUGUCGCCCCGGUAUGUUACAGUGAUUGUAUAGUGGAGAGAUGGGACUUCAAGACAUGCACAGCAGUACCGUAAUAGAGACUAUGUCAUUCAUGCAACCUCUUUGUCCUGAUGUGUUUGUGUGGAGGAGGUGUGGAUCGUUUUCAACCCGACUCGUGGUACAAAUCAGCAAUCUCACUUCACCACAGACUCGGAAAAGUUCAACAUAGCAAAGACAAGGGGCAGUUUUCCCAGUGUCGCCGCGGAUAAACUUCUUUUCUCGCUUGUUUUUACAGAAAAUACUUCUCAGUAAUUAUAUUUGUACAUUAUCAGGUUGCUGUAGGCAGGCAUACAGAGAGACAGGCAGGCCGAGGGCGGGAGGACAGUGGUGCUCGGGGCUCCUGGUGGGGGAGAAACUAUGGCAGCAGGUCAGCUGAAAACACCAAAUUAAAUUCAGCAUUUACUGGUUUAUCUUUGGCUGGUGGCGGAUUAACACGAAGAAAUAACUGCUUGCUCGAAUCUGCUCGGGGCACAUGAGGUUUGGGCUUAUUUCCUGCAGAAAAGUGCGUUCGACUGUCUGAUCAUGCUAAGAUGGUGAACCACAUUGAUCUGGAGCUCCAAAAAAGUAAAAAACCAAAGUGUUUUUGGUUAAUAAUCUACGGAAAAGAAUGACAUCGUCUGCAAAGAAAAAUCCCCUCUAGGUGUUUAACUAAUUCUGAUGGUUUAAAGGCAAGACUGCAUGUAUCAAUUCAGAAAUGCCAAACAGAUAUGAAGCAAAAUGUCUCAUUAACUGUAAAAAAACAAGCAUUCGGUGAUUUAACAUAAUCGAUACAAAAAUAUUGUGCUUUCUAUAUUUUUAUGCUUAAAUGAAGAGUUUCUGCAAUAGUCGAGCUUAAUCUCUCUACAUCUAUGACUAAAAUGGAUGAAACACUGCAAAUAUUAAUUGCUAGAGAGGCUUUAUGAGCGAUAAUGAAUCUAAUUUUUACUGAACAGGAUCAUUCUGAAAGAAAACUGGAGCAUUUAUAGCUAAUGAAAGGCUAAUCACCGACUGAACCGCACAUAUUCUUAUAAACGUUGUUAAAUUUAGCAGCCCUGAUUGUCCUCAGAAACAUAUAUAAACACUAGAAAACAUAAAAUUAUACUUCAGCAUUAAACUUCAGUAUAUGAGCCCUAUUUAAAGUCUGAACAUUUUAUUAUUUUCUACUCCAGGCAGUGUGUGUUUGUGUGUGUCACGACCAUUUUGAUGAAGGAAUGAUGCUUUUCUCUGCUCCUGAGUGGCAACAUGUAAACAGAAGAUGAAGAAACAGCUUCUACAUAGAAUUAAUGGACAAUGGUGGAUUGUACAGCCUCUGAUAGUUUGACACAGAGAAUGAAUUAGAGCCACAGCAACGUUUUUAAAGUUAGAAGCACCAAUUAUUACUAAUUUGGCUUAAAAAAUCGACAUCACAAACUCAUGGUGUUGCAAUUGAUGUCAUACUCUGUCAGAUAAACCCAAAAAUAUUCACUUUCUAAUGUUACAAAACUGAGAAAAAACAGCAAAUCUGCUCAUUUGAGAAGCCGAAACCAAUGGAUGAUGGGAGUUUUUUGUUGUUUCUGUGAUAUUUUUUUUUACUUCAAGCAUGAAUUUCCUGACUUGUUCACAUCACAGGCUGUGGAGAGCAUGAAACAAAAGCAAAAAAUGCUUUUCUCAGAUGGCAACUGAUCCCUAAAAGGGCCUUGGAUAAAAUGUCUUCUACCUAACUUUUGUGGAUCUGACGUCCCUCUGCAGGAUCCCCGGCACCACUGAGCACCAGGCCUCGGCUCUGCAGCAGGCCAGCGUCCCUAGUGCAAAGUAAAAGUUGCAUAAAGUCUCAUUGCUACCAUGGACAUCAUCAUCAUCGCCAUCAUCAUCAAUAACGUUAAUCCCUGAACACACCCUUCUACAAUCCUCUUAAAGUAAGACUCCGUUUUACUGCAUACUACUGAGUGGUUUUGGUUUACAAGAUGCAACAUGUCAAAGUCUGAAAACUGCACUUUCUUUACGUUAGUGGCUGAAAAUCUGCACCAGUGUCUCCCUCUGCUUAAAGAUUUCACCGUCUACCAGCUCUUAUGUCUGGUUCCAGCGUCUUUUCCAGAGAGCAGGAGGAAACGCUGAUCUCCAACAACAAAGCUUUACAUUCAUCUCCAGCGCUAAAAGAAAACACACCGACUAAAAACACAUUAAUGACAAACCCAAAGGUGUUUUAUUUGUCAUUUCAUCUGGGCUGAUGUGAACAGAACAGCAGCAGCAGACGGGCGGGUUUGCCUCGUCCGAACCACCAACUUUUAGAUUGUUUCAACCAAAUCUGAACAUGUGUUUUGAACUCCAGUCUGUCGUGGUGUCAAACAUGUCGACUUUCCCACGUUAUCUGAUACUUUGUGAUGUCAGCAUUGUGAAAUGAUGGAAAUCUGUCAGUGGGUUCGCUGUUCGCUGCUCGCUCUGUCCUCUGAGUAUCAACAGCAACGAUGUCAGAAUCUUAACUGCUUCCGUCUGCUCGUUUAAAACUCCUUUUCACUCUGACUGUGUUUGUUGUGUCCGACAUGCAUGUAAAUGAUUGCAUUGAUCUGGCAUUCCCACCUAAUACAGAUGCAUAAGAUGUCUACGGAAAAAAACAUGAAAGAAAUUACAAGUUUUUAAGAUGUUUAAAAAAAAAAAAAAAAAGAUAAGGAGAAACAGGUCGGGAGAGAAUUUAAAAUUCUGAAGUAAAACAUUUUUGAAAAACUGGAAGCAACCAGAUUUGACAACACUGUUAGCUCAUGACCUUAUUAUGAAUACAUAUAGAUAUCUAACUGCUCAAUGAAGGAAUAAUGUAAACUUUUGCAUUUAAAGUCCAACUAAAAUCAAAUUAACUCAUUCCUGUUUGCAGCCCAAACUAAGUUCAGUAAGUUUU
ensembl:lncRNA